rfam:Parascardovia denticolens DSM 10105 chromosome, whole genome shotgun sequence.
CGAGACCUCUUGAUGGCCGCGGUCCCAUGGACUGAGGAACUUCCGGGCUCCACAGAGCACGAUAGCGGAUAACGUCCGCCCAGGGCGACCUGAGAGAUAGCGCAACAGAAAGCAAACCGCUUCCCCCCGCCUUUUCAAAAAGCGGGCGAGUAAGGGUGAAAGGGUGGUGUAAGAGACCACCGGGUUGGCGGUAACGUCAACCGCAUGGCAAGCCUUAUCGGGAGCAAGGCCAAGCAGAAGACGUUCGAGGGUUGCUCGCCCGAGUCUUCGGGUAGGCCGCUGGAGCUUAGCGGCGACGUUGAGUCGAGAUGGAUGGCCAUCCCUCUUCGGAGGACAGAACCCGGGGUAUAAGAGGUCUCACCCC